ACGGGCCAGAAGCCCGAUCCGUCCCACCCCCUGUCUCCUGCCUCUGUUGCCUCGGCGGACGGGUGCGCUCGUUCGUCGAAGGCCCCCCCUAACAACGCUGUAAUGGUGGGGUUCUGAGUGUCGAUUUUAAUAGCACUAAAACUUUCAACAACGGAUCUCUUGGCUCUGGCGUCAAUGAAGAACGCAGCGAAACGCGAUAGGUAAUCUGAAUUGCAGAAUUCAGCGAAUGAUCGAAUCUUUGAACGCACAUGGCGCCCUCUGGUAUCCCGGGGGGCACGCCUGUACGAGCGUCAUCACACCCCUCAAGCCUCGCUUGGUAUUGGGCCCCGCCGCGUCGUCGGCGGGCCUUAAACGUGCUGGCGGCGUCGUGGGCCCCCGAAGCGCACAUGGUCUCGAACCGCGCGCGAGGACGGCCGCGGCGCCCGCCACGGUGAACCCUCCACCCUCGUAUCGACCUCGGAUCAGGCGGGGAUACCCGCUGAACUUAAGCAUAUCAAUAA
rnacentral:sRNA from 1 species